rnacentral:rRNA from 1 species
GAUGAACGCUGGCGGCGUGCCUAACACAUGCAAGUCGAACGAAGCAAUUAGAAUGAAGUUUUCGGAUGGAUUUUUAAUUGACUGAGUGGCGACGGGUGAGUACGCGUGGAUAACCUGCCUCACACUGGGGGAUAACAGUUAGAAAUGACUGCUAAUACCGCAUAAGCGCACGCUACCGCAUGGUAGCGUGUGAAAAACUCCGGUGGUGUGAGAUGGAUCCGCGUCUGAUUAGCCAGUUGGCGGGGUAACGGCUUACCAAGGCAAUGAUGCAUAGCCGAGUUGAGAGACUGAUCGGCCACAUUGGGACUGAGACACGGCCCAA